CCACGUUGUACUUGACAAUAGCGAUGUAUAUGUUGUUUAAGGGAGUUUCGCUUUCCGUCUUCCGACCUUCGUCCCAGAUGGUUCAGCCGCUCCACCCCUACGCGUGUUCACUUGGUAGAGUCCGAAGAGGUCGACUCCUCCCAGGUGAACUCCGGAGCUGGACGGGGCCGACUGACGAGAACCCGCGAGAACUCCGCAGAAGGGCCGACCGUGAAGUUCCCGGAGUGAUCAGUGUUCAGUGCGGGAGCUGGUGCCCCUGGCGUUCGGUGCUGCCGCGCGAACGGACUGGGACGGUCCCGCCGUUCUCAGAAACGUGGGACAGAAAAACGUGGACCUUUGCACUCCGCCAGGGGACAGUGUGAAGUAAGGUGACCGGGCGUCCCGAUUUUUUAACAAUGUGUCCCGCGUCCCGCGGCGUUUUUAAAAAGUCCGGAUUUUUGGAAAGAAUCCUACCCUGCGUCCGCAGGCGAUGCCUCGCUUGAAAUAGCGGAGUCUGACACUUUCAGAGCUUUAACCGAAGUCAUCCUCCCCCACUCCCACGCUGCCCUCUUCCUUCAAAAAAAAAAAAAAAAAUGCACCAGCAUCGGAGACCUUGUUCUAUUGCAAUUCGUGAAACUACUUGCCAUGCAUGUCAACUUGUCAUCCAGAAACUCUCAGGAGGUAGAGAUCAUUUAACACAGGAGGAGCGGUGGCUUGUGGAGUGGCAAAGUUUGGGACUCACUCACUUAACUGAAGAUACCCCAGCCUAGAAGAAGGACCAGUAGAAAAAGCAAUGCCUCAAAGAUGAUACCUGCAUAAGUAAUGUCUACUCUCCUGGUACAGGGAGUUUUGAAUAAAUCCUGUCAUGAGACAAGCGGAAUGUCCAUAAAGCAGACCUGACAUGAACACAU